rnacentral:rRNA from 1 species
GGAGUCUGGGCCGUAUCUCAGUCCCAAUGUGGCCGUUCAACCUCUCAGUCCGGCUACUGAUCGAAGCCUUGGUGGGCCGUUACCCCGCCAACCAGCUAAUCAGACGUGAGCCCAUCUUUCAGCGGAUUGCUCCUUUGAUACAAAAACGAUGCCGUCUCUGUAUGUUAUGCGGUAUUAGCAGUCGUUUCCAACUGUUGUCCCCCUCUGAAAGGCAGGUUGCUCACGCAUUACUCACCCGUCCGCCACUAAGUGUCAAAAGCAAGCUCUCGACACUCCGUUCGACUUGCAUGUGUUAGGCACGCCGCCAGCGUUCAUC